CCCGCACAAGCGGUGGAGCAUGUGGUUUAAUUCGAUGAUACGCGAGGAACCUUACCUGGGCUCAAAUGUAUGUUGACGUAUUCUGAAAGGGAUACUUCUUCGGACAAUAUACAAGGUGCUGCAUGGUUGUCGUCAGCUCGUGCCGUGAGGUGUCGGGUUAAGUCCCAUAACGAGCGCAACCCCUAUCAUUAGUUGCCAUCAGGUCAAGCUGGGGACUCUAAUGAAACUGCCUACGCAAGUAGUGAGGAAGGUGGGGAUGACGUCAAAUCAGCACGGCCCUUACGUCCAGGGCUACACACGUGCUACAAUGGCCGGUACAAAGGGCAGCUACCUGGUGACAGGAUGCUAAUCUCCAAAACCACUCUCAGUUCGGAUCGGAGUCUGCAACUCGACUCCGUGAAGCUGGAUUCGCUAGUAAUCGCGCAUCAGCCACGGCGCGGUGAAUACGUUCCCGGGCCUU
rnacentral:rRNA from 1 species